rnacentral:rRNA from 1 species
UGAACGCUGGCGGCAGGCCUAACACAUGCAAGUCGAGCGGAAACGACACUAACAAUCCUUCGGGUGCGUUAAUGGGCGUCGAGCGGCGGACGGGUGAGUAAUGCCUAGGAAAUUGCCUUGAUGUGGGGGAUAACCAUUGGAAACGAUGGCUAAUACCGCAUAAUGCCUACGGGCCAAAGAGGGGGAUCUUCGGACCUCUCGCGUCAAGAUAUGCCUAGGUGGGAUUAGCUAGUUGGUGAGGUAAUGGCUCACCAAGGCGACGAUCCCUAGCUGGUCUGAGAGGAUGAUCAGCCACACUGGAACUGAGACACGGUCCAGACUCCUACGGGAGGCAGCAGUGGGGAAUAUUGCACAAUGGGCGAAAGCCUGAUGCAGCCAUGCCGCGUGUAUGAAGAAGGCCUUCGGGUUGUAAAGUACUUUCAGUUGUGAGGAAGGGUGUGUAGUUAAUAGCUGCGCAUCUUGACGUUAGCAACAGAAGAAGCACCGGCUAACUCC